GAGAGACAGAGAUACAGAGAGUGUGAAACAGAGAGAGAGAAACAUAGAGAGCGAGAGAGAGAUACAGAGAGAAAAAUAAUGGCUACUGACACAGAGGCAAGCGGAAGCUAUAUAUCGCCGCGCGUAGAAACGCACGCGGCGACGCCAGGAGAGCGAUACGGAGCAGCUAACGCGACACGAGCAAACUGACCGCGGCGCCCCCUACGCUUGCGCGCGGAGACACACCAGGGGGCGACACCAUCGGCGGAUCCGUCGUCGCACUGCGAUCUCAAGCGAUGCGCGCGGACGACGCGGUCGCUAAUUAGUCGAUCUCUUAAUUAACGAUCAGUUAAUUAGAAGGGCCGGCCUCGAAUUUCGGCGGCCGCGCGACGCCCGUAUAAGGGCGCGUCGCCGGCGACCUCUGCUGUUGUCGGCCCGAAACGACUCCGGAAAGCGACGCGGUGCGCUUACGCCGUUCUCCCACUGACACGAUGACCGGGGUCACGCAGAGGUCACGGAGGGGUCGCUGCCCGCCACGCUCGCGUCUGCGCGGUUCUAUUCGUAAUUCUAGUCUAUGGGUUUUGAGAGCACUGUCCAAAUUUUCGCCGUCGACCGUGUCCGCAGUCCGUCCGGCCGCCAUUUCUCGCCACCGCCGCGCGGGACUCGAACCCGGGUCCCUACGGAAAUCGCCCACCGGGGCAGUCAACAGGAUUCGAACCCGGGUCCCUAC